AGUAAAGGCCUGAGUAAAUUGUAUGAAUAUAUUCUAAAAUACGUACGUAAAAAACAAAAAUAAAAAGGCCGCGGGCCUCUUCCAAACAAAAGUAUGGACAUUCGUUAUGGGUGGGGGCGGGUUUUUAACCGAGUUCGCGGGACCUGCGAGCCGCACCGCGCUUAGGUCCCGGGCUGUGAGCGCGGGACCAGGACGGGCGUCCGCUCGCGGGAUGAGCACGACUCACCGGCCAAGGGGUGUGGCGCCCCCGAAAACUGGUUCUGACGAGGUUGCGCUGCAGCCGGAGAAGCGGCUACAGUACCCGCCCUCCCCCGAACCGGCCCCACUCGCCCGCCCGGUGACAAAAGGAUUUUUUUUUUUUUUUAAUGUAUGCGCUGCUCUUCCCCCGGGGACACAGCCGGGUGACUCCCAGCUGAAAUGGGUGUGCAGCAGGCAUCCGUCAGUUAGGCGUGGCGCACUGCCACUUAUGUAACAAAUGCUACCCGGCAAGGUGCGCCGAGCAGAGGAGAUGGAAGCCGCACUUCCUCCUCUGAAAUGCGCUAGCCUGACUCCGGGGCAACUUCCGGGAGGCGGAGUGGUCCUGCCCGGGAAUGGAGAGUCCCGGCACUUGCAGGCCCCCGUGCUGGGCGCCGUGUUGGCUGUUUUCAAGCGCGGAUCCGAGGAAAUGUGGGCUCCAAGCACCUGCUGGAGGGCCUCUCUGGUCGUUGGCGUACUCCUAUCUAAGUCGGCCAUGGCAAGCCAGGUCUCUCGUACAGGAUGAAUUUUCUGCCCCCAGUACAUGAAAAUGAAACCACUCGUCCUGGGAAUGAUGCUGCUGACCAGUGGGCACUGGAUUCCAAAGUCUGCAGGUCCAGCUUAGUUUGGCGAGGAUGAUACCCCUUCCAUCCGGGAUGUCCAGCAGGGUACCCACCUGUGGCUACUGAGCACUUGAAAACAGGACUAGCAGGUUAGACCCCCGGCCUGCAGUGCCGGCAUCCCAUAUGGGCGCUGGUUUGAGUCCUGGCUGCUCCACUUCUGAUCCAGCUCUCUGCUGUGGCCUGGGAAAGCAGUGGAAGAUGGCCCGAGUGCUUGGGCCCCUGCACCCACAUGGGAGACCUGGAAGAAGCUCCUGGCUCCUGGCUUCACAUUGGCUCAGGUCUGGCUGUUGCGGGCAUUUGGGGAGUGAACCAAUGGAUGGAAGACCUCUCUCUCUCUCUCUCCCCCUCCCUCUACCUCUGUAACUCUGUCUUUAAAAUUACAUUAAUUAAUUAAUUUUUAAAAACAGGACUGGUGCAACUUGAGGUGUGCUCCAAGUGUAAAGCAUAUCUGAGGCAGAGGGGUUGUGUCGUGAAGGUGCUGCCUGUGACGCCAGCAUCCCAUAUGGGCGCAGGUUCGAGUCCUAGUUGCUCCACUUCUGAUCCAGCUCCUUGCUAAUGCACCUGGGGAAGCAGUGGAAAAUGACCCAAGUCCUUGAGCCCCUGUACCCACGUGAGAGACCCAGAAGAAGCUCCUGGCUCCCAGCUCCUGGUUCCUGGCUUCAGCCAGGCGCAGCCCCGGCCAUUUCAGUCAUUUGGGGAAUGAACCAGCGGAUAAAGAUCUCCCUCUCUCUGUGUAACUCUGCCUUUCAGGUAAAUAAAAAAUAAAAGGAGGCUGGCGCUGUGGCGUAG
ensembl:lncRNA